UUUGUUUUGCUUCAAGAUGGCUGCUGGGAUGUAUUUGGAACAUUAUCUGGACAGUAUUGAAAACCUCCCGUUUGAAUUACAGAGAAACUUUCAGCUCAUGAGGGACCUAGACCAAAGGACAGAGGACCUGAAGGCUGAAAUUGACAAGUUGGCCACUGAAUAUAUGAGUAGCGCCCGCAGCCUGAGCUCCGAGGAGAAGCUGGCCCUUCUCAGACAGAUCCAGGAGGCCUAUGGCAAGUGCAAGGAAUUUGGUGACGACAAGGUGCAGCUGGCCAUGCAGACCUAUGAGAUGGUAGACAAACACAUUCGGCGGCUGGACACAGACCUGGCCCGUUUUGAGGCUGAUCUGAAGGAGAAACAGAUCGAGUCGAGUGACUAUGACAGCUCUUCUAGCAAAGGCAAAAAGAGCCGGACCCAAAAGGAGAAAAAAGCUGCCAGAGCCCGUUCCAAAGGGAAAAACUCAGAUGAAGAAGCCCCCAAGGCUGCCCAGAAGAAGUUAAAACUUGUGCGCACGUGAGUAUACCAGAGGACGCCCGCCUCCNAGCCAGCCUCGUGCCACUUUCCCUGUCUUCUGUGCCAGUAACUCUGUCACUGUGGUGUCUNCUGGACGGAGAAGAAGCCACACAUCAUUUGCCUCACCACGAUCUUCUACCACCUCAGAGCGCAGGUUGUAGCUUCCCUUCCUGCAGAUGACAUUUGUCUUCCUCUUGGCAUACAGAAGUCCUGAGUAUGGGAUGCCCUCAGUGACCUUUGGCAGUGUCCACCCCUCUGAUGUGUUGGAUAUGCCUGUGGAUCCCAACGAACCCACAUAUUGCCUUUGUCACCAGGUCUCCUAUGGAGAGAUGAUUGGCUGUGACAACCCGGAUUGUUCCAUCGAGUGGUUCCACUUCGCCUGUGUGGGGCUGACAACCAAGCCUCGAGGGAAAUGGUUUUGCCCACGCUGCUCCCAAGAACGGAAGAAGAAAUAGGUUUCCCUGGAUUCCAUUACAGACUUCUGCAUCCCCCUGACCUGGGCUAGUGGACAGAGUGGAAGGCCUGUGCUGGGGACGGGGGGCCCAGGGAGAUGUGGACAGUGCGGUACCGUCAUCCCUCUCCCUCCUCCCCACUCGGUGCUGAGGCUGCAUCCAAACCCCAGUAGGGAGGGUGCCGCAGCCAGUGACGGUAUGUGCUCUCCUCCCACCUCUCCCAGAGGGAAGUAAUCCCACUCACUGUCCUUUUGCCUCCGUGGUGAGGUUGGUGCUGUAUUUCAGAGGGAGGGUCCUCUUCAUUCCCCUUGCUUUGACUUAAGGACUGGGGCAGUGGAGUGGGGCACUCUCCCAGUCCCCUCACUCCUCCUUCCCCCNUUGGGAGCUAGGCAGGACAGACUGCCUUCUCUGCACUCUUCCUGUUCUCUAUGGGGAGGGGUCUUCUAGGUCAUUUGGGCUGUGGCCUAGUUAAGUGGUUACCCCAACCUCUAUGGCCCGGGGAUUUAUGCUGACUUUGAAUGGGAGAGGGGCAAGGUGGACCNCAGGUUACUCACAUGUAAAAGGAGUUGGGGUAGGUAAAUAAAAGCUAUCCAUGCUAGCCUGCUGUGUUUAUUGUAGAGACUGUUUAAGUAUAUGUGGUAAGCAUUCUUUUUGCAUCCUCUGGAUUGGAUGAGAGGCAGGAAGAUGGCUUGCCAGAAAUAGGACAAGACAUAAAACCCAAAAUGGUCCUGUCCUGUGGUGUCCACAGCUUCUCCACCUGGAGGAGUGCCUUGCAUCGGGGGACUCAGAAUUUUGUAAUUACGAAUCUCCUCCCGGUGAAACACCUUUAACCCAAUUCCAAUAAAUCAUGUAUUUGCUUUAUAUGUGUGUGUGGUGAUAGUAUUAGAUACAAAACAGGUAUUUUCUCCCCACCUCCCAGUGAGUUGUGUUGGUCCCCUCCCUCUUGAAACAGUAUCCCUUGGGCCACUGAACCAUCCUUUCUUUCAUGUGUGCUCGCCUUGGUCAGCCCUGCUUCAUUUUAACUUUGGGCCUUUUUCCUACCUAAGAGGUGUCCUCCCUAGUUCUUCCCCUCCCUGCCUUCCUUUCAGACAUCCAGCNCUGCUGCCCACAGUGCAGCCUAUACUCAACAGCCAGGUCUCCACAAAACCGCGGACGUUGCUUCGCGAAACCCGCCAUCUUUAUCUGAAGAAGGGGUGACAGUACACACCUCCUGGGUCUAGGGGUUAAGUGGCAGGAAGUAGCGCGCAGACCCGGGGUUACAGCUAGGAGAAAUUAGGAGCAGGAUUUUAGGUUCAUUUCCCGGCAACACAAAAAUAAAUUCGAAGAAAGUGGUACCGAGCAAUAGAGGUCCUACGCUGUUGAAGACCGACUGGAAGGGCUGCUGUAUGUAGCCUGUGGCUUCUGACUUGGNCCGCUUGUCCGUGGCCCGCUACUGGUGCAGCUCAGAGGAGUUCACCUCGUGGCCUGGCCCCGCCCUCACCUUCUAUGACGUAGCAGCCGCGCCUCCUGCCGCCUUCGUGCUAGCAGCCCGAGACCCACGCUCUCCGAGGCUCGGCCCGUUAGAGGUCGCUUUGUUGUGAAAACGCGGGUGGANCUUCCCAGGCCAUGAUGAAUCUAGCUGCUGGCUUCCUUCUGAUGCUUCUGGAAGUGCUGCUCCUGCCUGAAACACCUCUUUCCGCUGAGGAAUCACCAGCUUCCANUCCAGGCAGCCCUCUCUCAUCCACUGAGUAUGAACGCUUCUUCGCCCUGCUGACCCCAACCUGGAAGGCAGAGACUACCUGCCGCCUCCGUGCCACCCAUGGCUGCCGGAACCCCACUCUCGUUCAGUUGGAUCAAUAUGAAAACCACGGAUUGGUACCAGAUGGUGCAGUCUGCUCCGAUCUCCCAUAUGCUUCCUGGUUUGAGUCCUUCUGCCAGUUUGCUCAGUAUCGUUGCUCCAACCAUGUCUACUAUGCUAAG
ensembl:processed_transcript